ACAACACUGUCUCAGGCAAUAUAACAAACGUUCAGACAAGUUUUCGCAUCAGUCCUCAUCUAUCGCUUCAAGAACAGAAACUUCCACAUAAGUAACAGCCUCUUCGAUAACGAUGUCACGCCAAUUAGUAGUCACUGCAUCGAUACUAAUAAUUUUGAACGCAGUCGUGAUCUUAGCGGCUCCAAGAAGCAAAGACGAAAAUUUUCAAGUGAUCGCCGUUCAUAAUGGAUCCAAUUUCGGCAAUAAAUUAAGUGUUAAACGAGCAGUCAACGAUAGAAAACUCUCACAUGCAGGCCAAGAGGUUUCGAUAGUCAAAGGGUUACUAUUCGAAUAUGUCAUACACGAUGGUGUCAGCCAUUCAGGAAAGCAGAAUGGUUUUUAUCCAAAUAUAAACGUUCCCGUCAACACUACAACUUCUCAAUCAGAAGCCCAAGCACCAGUCGCAAGAGUUGCAAGUUCUCCAGAUGUAAGUUUAUGUGUGUUGGAGUCAUUAUGUGGUAGAAAAUAAUAAUCCAGCUCUGGAUCAUUUCUUUAA